rnacentral:rRNA from 1 species
GUAGUCCGCACGAGCGCACCCUCGUUCCUGUUGCCAGCACGUAAUGGUGGGGACUCAUGGGAGACUGCCGGGGUCAACUCGGAGGAAGGUGAGGACGACGUCAAAUCAUCAUGCCCCUUAUGUCUUGGGCUUCACGCAUGCUACAAUGGCCGGUACAAUGGGUUGCGAUACUGUGAGGUGGAGCUAAUCCCAAAAAGCCGGUCUCAGUUCGGAUUGGGGUCUGCAACUCGACCCCAUGAAGUCGGAGUCGCUAGUAAUCGCAAAUCAGCAACGCUGCGGUGAACAAGUUCCCGGGA